rnacentral:rRNA from 1 species
UCAAGGAAGAAGAUCUGACGGUACUUGAUGAAUAAGCCACGGCUAAUUCCGUGCCAGCAGCCGCGGUAAUACGGGAGUGGCAAGCGUUAUCCGGAAUUAUUGGGCGUAAAGCGUCCGCAGGCGGCCUUGAAAGUCUGUCGUUAAAGCGUGGAGCUUAACUCCAUUUCGGCGAUGGAAACUACAAGGCUAGAGUGUGGUAGGGGCAGAGGGAAUUCCCGGUGUAGCGGUGAAAUGCGUAGAUAUCGG